rnacentral:rRNA from 1 species
GAUGAACGCUAGCGGCAGGCCUAACACAUGCAAGUCGAGGGGUAGCAGGAUUAAGCUUGCUUAAUUGCUGACGACCGGCGCACGGGUGCGUAACGCGUAUGCAACCUACCUUAUACUGGGGUAUAGCCCGGAGAAAUUCGGAUUAAUCCCCCAUAGUACUAAUGAAUCGCAUGGUUUAUUAGUUAAAGCAUUGCGGUAUAAGAUGGGCAUGCGUCCUAUUAGCUAGAUGGUGAGGUAAAGGCUCACCAUGGCUACGAUAGGUAGGGGGCCUGGGAGGGUGGUCCCCCACACUGGUACUGAGACACGGGCCAGACUACUACGGGAGGCAGCAGUGAGGAAUAUUGGUCAAUGGGCGCAAGCCUGAACCAGCCAUGCCGCGUGCAGGAAGAAUGCCCUAUGGGUUGUAAACUGCUUUUAUUUGGGAAUAAACCUCUUUACGUGUAGAGAGCUGAAGGUACCAAAUGAAUAAGCACCGGCUAACUCCGUGCCAGCCGCCGCUGUAA